UAUAUCAAGUGACAAUAUGUAAUAACAAUUAUGUAUGAAAGAUUCUUGAUGCAGAAAAAAAGUCUAUAUUCUUAUACAUAUAUACAGAUUUAAAGAAACAUAAAAACACUUUUUUUUAAAUCUUUGGCUUUAAUACAAUAAUAUUUUUAUAAGAAUACUGUAAAAGGUAUAACAGAGCAUUUAGUAGUAUUAUACAUGAAAAAAAAUAUUGCAGCAAAAGAAAAUAUCAUGAAAUGAGAGUGAGUUAAAUCAGUAAUGUGGUACACGACACGAGAAUGGCCCGACGGUUAAAUUAGGUUUUAGCAUCACUUAGAUAGAGGAUGAGCUAGAGUAGUGGAUAUAUAACCCACGAGAUAGAGUAGUGGAUAAAUAAUCCAUAAGAUAGAGUAGUGGAUACAUAACCCAUGAGAUAGAGUAGUUGAUGUAUAACCCAUGAGAUAGAGUAGUGGAUAAUUAGCUCAUAAGAUAGAGUAGUGGAUAUAUAAC